rnacentral:sRNA from 1 species
CAAUCAGCCGCUCCUUCAGCUCGCCCUCGGCUGGAAAAGGAAGUGGCAAGGAAGAGGAUAUCCCAUUAAAGCAGUGAGAGAAAAAACGGUGCCCUAAAGAGACGAAAAUAUUAUGGAAUCCUAAGGAUAUAGACCGGACAUUGCUCGCGCUUCUCUGAUUACUUUUAUUGCCAGCAAUUUGAUGAAUUUGAAAUGAGAGGGACGCGGCCGGAAGGAUGGGGUGGCGAUGGGGCGAUGGGGCUAUGGGGGUGGAGUGAAAGAAUGGCCAGCCGGACGUAAUCGCAUCAGGAAUAUACAAUGUCUAAUGCAAUUACCGGUUCCGUCCGUCAUUAAGAGUCCCCGAUACGAAUACGGAUAGGAUAUGCACGGUCAAUUAGCUGCGCUCGCUAAAAAGUGGACAAGAAAAGAGACCUUAACAAGGAAGAAGAAGACAAGAGAUUAACGGGCGCUGCUCGCCAGGAACGCCAGGACGGAUGGAUGGCGAUGCAAUCGAUGCCAAUUAGAACGAUUAUACGUCCAUUUCCGCAUUUUAUUUUGAUCGUUCUUCGAGCCAAACUACUACUACUACUUUGAGAGAGAGAGAGAGAGAGAGUCGAGUUUCGAAGAACAACUUAUGCUAUUAAGGAUUCCCGAAGUAAUCAAUUAUUUCACGAUGCAAACUUUCACGAAAUGCUACCAUAAAACUUUACUUCAU